rnacentral:rRNA from 1 species
UACGAAGGGGGCUAGCGUUGCUCGGAAUUACUGGGCGUAAAGGGCGCGUAGGCGGAUAUCUAAGUCAGGGGUGAAAUCCCGGGGCUCAACCCCGGAACUGCCUUUGAUACUGGGUAUCUGGAGGUCGAGAGAGGCGAGUGGAAUUCCGAGUGUAGAGGUGAAAUUCGUAGAUAUUCGGAGGAACACCAGUGGCGAAGGCGGCUCGCUGGCUCGAUACUGACGCUGAGGUGCGAAAGCGUGGGGAGCAAACAGG